CAGGAAAAUCUGGGGAGUGGUCAGAGCAGUUCCUCAGAGACAAAGGGCAAGUUGAUGCCUCGGGCAAGUGUAAACAAGGCUGAUGGGACAAUUACCAGAGCCAGGAAACUGCAAAGUCCCAAGUCUGAUGUCGAUGGUUUGCACCAAACGCCAAAACCAUUCCGUGACAGUGGCUGAAACAAGAUCCCAGCACCUGUGUGGAACCCCACUGAUUUCAGAGAUUACUCAGAAGAGUAAAGUUACAUGCAUGCUUAAGAACUUGCAGGAUCAGGGUCUUUCCUCACAUGCAGAAGUGUUCCUUUGAACUGAAAUGUCAGACAAGCAGGUAAAUUCAUACUUCAGUUUUAUUAUCUUUUAGGCAUGGAUUGAAACAUUCAUUUAUUUUAUUUUAUUUUAUUUUUUGCACUGGUGGUUCCUGAAACAUGCCUGAAGUGAACGCUGAACAGGGAAAAAUCUGUCUCCUAGGGCUGAAGAGUUAAACUGGAUGGGAGAUGUAGCCGAAUUUCAAAAGGGACAUCACUGUUCAGAAAGAUGGUGUGAGCCCCAGCCUGUGACAUUAAAAGAAGAGGACAGAGACAGCAGUGGUGGCUGCAUCUGACCACUGGAUGAUGCUGUUGGUUAGUUGUAGUACCACUGUAUUCAUUGCAGUUCGGAUUCCGCGGGUUGUCCUGCAGCUUUUUAUAUAAAGAAGAGGGGAAAUCUCCACUUCUCUUGCACAGUCAUGGUACAAUGACUACAUCCAGCAUGAGGUUAGUAAUAGUAUGUGAUUUUAUGGUAAGAACGUCUUACCUCUUGAAGGUACAUUGUU